GACGAACGCUGGCGGCGUGCUUAACACAUGCAAGUCGAGCGGUAAGGCCCUUUCGGGGGUACGACGAGCGGCGAACGGGUGAGUAACACGUGGGUGACCUGCCCUUAGCUCUGGGAUAAGCCUGGGAAACUGGGUCUAAUACCGGAUAUGACUCCAUGACGCAUGUUGUGGGGUGGAAAGCCUUGUGCGGCUAGGGAUGGGCCCGCGGCCUAUCAGCUUGUUGGUGGGGUGAUGGCCUACCAAGGCGACGACGGGUAGCCGGCCUGAGAGGGCGACCGGCCACACUGGGACUGAGACACGGCCCAGACUCCUACGGGAGGCAGCAGUGGGGAAUCUUGCGCAAUGGGCGAAAGCCUGACGCAGCGACGCCGCGUGAGGGAUGACGGCCUGUGUAAC
rnacentral:rRNA from 1 species